AAGCCUUGCUCGGUGCCGUUCAGCCCUGACGCUGCCUCUUCUCUAAGCACAUCAGUUGGAGAUCCUGACCCUGCCGCUGGAUCUGCAUGGGCACAUUAGAGUUACACGUGGGCACCAAGUCCUGAACAUGCAGAUCCUGUUGCCAAACACGGUGCAGGUAAGACAGAUCCGACAUAUAAAAUGCCAAGGUCUGGAGGCUGCUCCUACAGCAGCCAGCCGUAAAGCUCCCAGCAACUUUCAUGGUGCAGAGUCAAGGCCUAUGUGGGAGGACUGCAAAUGCUAUUUCCAGGCGUACAGACCCACAGUGAGCAGACUCACCACGGAGAAGGAGAAGCCGGGCAGAGCAGCCCAUCCAGCAGGCCGCCCCUCUGCCUUGCCUGUCUCUGGAAAACCAAAGGGAGUAACUCUAUUGUGAAGAACAAACCGCAGCACGGUUGAUGCUGCCCUGGCUUUGAAUACUUAUAAAGGAGCGCUGCUGUUCGUAUUAGAACAGCUAAUUAAAAUUUAACCAGUGUUGUUUAAACCAUGCUACAGCUAGGUCGGUUUUUUUGGUUUCCUUUAUUGCAUUUUGUUUGGCUUUGUUUUUAAAAAAAAGGCCAGGGUGCCUGAGAGUAACGUGUGUUUAAUUGCAAUAAGUGAGAAGCCAUGAAUACCUUGACCAUUUCAGGAUUAG